GAUGAACGCUAGCUACAGGCUUAACACAUGCAAGUCGAGGGGAAACGACAUCGAAAGCUUGCUUUUGAUGGGCGUCGACCGGCGCACGGGUGAGUAACGCGUAUCCAACCUGCCCAUCACUUGGGAAUAACCUUGCGAAAGUAAGACUAAUACCCAAUGAUAUCCCACGAAGGCAUCGGAAUGGGAUUAAAGAUUUAUCGGUGAUGGAUGGGGAUGCGUCUGAUUAGCUUGUUGGCGGGGUAACGGCCCACCAAGGCAACGAUCAGUAGGGGUUCUGAGAGGAAGGGCACCCACAUUGGAACUGAGACACGGUCAAAACUGCUACGGGAGGAAGCAGUGAGGAAUAUUGGUCAAUGGGCGAGAGCCUGAAACAGCCAAGUAGCGUGCAGGAAGACGGCCCUAUGGGUGGUAAACUGCUUUUAUAAGGGAAUAAAGUGGGUCACGUGUGACUUUUUGCAUGUACCUUAUGAAUAAGGACCGGCUAAUUCCGUG
rnacentral:rRNA from 1 species